rnacentral:lncRNA from 1 species
ACAGUUAUGGGAGCACAUUUUUGAACACAGGCUCCCACCUUCAACUUAUCACUUCCUUACCUUUGCUGGGGUACCUGAUGACUUUAAAGAGACUGUUUCUUUGGAGAAGGUGGAAUACGCUUAAAGAUUGGUCUUGCCUUUAAAACACCAUUUUAAAAGAGACCAUUUGUUAGUGCCUGAAAUCUGUAACUGGCUUAAAAGCUCUGUCAGCUGGAAAGGAACCUGUCAGUGUGAUAAUGGAAAAGAAGAAGAUACAUCAGAGAGAGCUCUUCUGAGGAUUAAAGGAGGUAACUUAAGAAGAAG